AGAACUUAGCAGAGAUUGGCUUUUGGUGCCUUCGGGAACUCUGAGACAGGUGCUGCAUGGCUGUCGUCAGCUCGUGUUGUGAAAUGUUGGGUUAAGUCCCGCAACGAGCGCAACCCUUAUCCUUUGUUGCCAGCGGUUAGGCCGGGAACUCAAAGGAGACUGCCAGUGAUAAACUGGAGGAAGGUGGGGAUGACCGUCAAGUCAUCAUGGCCCUUACGAGUAGGGCUACACACGUGCUACAAUGGCGCAUACAAAGAGAAGCGACCUCGCGAGAGCAAGCGGACCUCAUAAAGUGCGUCGUAGUCCGGAUUGGAGUCUGCAACUCGACUCCAUGAAGUCGGAAUCGCUAGUAAUCGUGGAUCAGAAUGCCACGGUGAAUACGUUCCCGGGCCUUGUACACACCGCCCGUCACACCAUGGGAGUGGGUUGCAAAAGAAGUAGGUAGCUUAACCUUCGGGAGGGCGCUUACCACUUUGUGAUUCAUGACUGGGGUGAAGUCGUAACAAGGUAAGCGUAGUGCU
rnacentral:rRNA from 1 species